rnacentral:lncRNA from 1 species
GCGUGCGAAAGGUCAUUUAUGUCGUCUUCUAUGGUUUUUUUUUUCUUUUAGUUUUCCAUGUUUACAAAGCAGUGUUAACAAAACCAACAGGUGCGUAUGUAAAGCAAAAUUAUAUCCGGCAGAAAUUUGAUCCGGAGGAAAAAAUGUCACAGUAGUUGUUAUUUUUUUUAUUGGGAGGAAAAUAUUUCCCCGUGAAAUUCUGUCUUGGUAGUUAACUUAUUAAAUAGUUUUUAGAACAAAC